GACGAACGCUGGCGGCGUGCCUAAUACAUGCAAGUAGAACGCACAGUUUAUACCGUAGCUUGCUACACCAUAGACUGUGAGUUGCGAACGGGUGAGUAACGCGUAGGUAACCUGCCUGGUAGCGGGGGAUAACUAUUGGAAACGAUAGCUAAUACCGCAUAAUAUUAAUUAUUGCAUGAUAAUUAAUUGAAAGGUGCAAUUGCACCACUACCAGAUGGACCUGCGUUGUAUUAGCUAGUAGGUGAGGUAACGGCUCACCUAGGCGACGAUACAUAGCCGACCUGGGAGGGUGAUCGGCCACACUGGGACUGGGACACGGCCCAGACUCCUACGGGAGGCAGCAGUAGGGAAUCUUCGGCAAUGGACGAAAGUCUGACCGAGCAACGCCGCGUGAGUAAAGAAGGUUUUCGGAUCGUAAAGCUCUGUUGUAAGAGAAGAACGGGUGUGAGAGUGGAAAGUUCACACUGUGACGGUAUCUUACCAGAAAGGGACGGCUAACUACGUG
rnacentral:rRNA from 1 species